UGCUUCAGUGGGGCCUUCAGUUGUGUGAAAGGAAAGCCAAGGACUUAUCUUCGAUCAGAAACAUCUAAGCCAAUGAGGCAGAGACACACUGCACGGUGUUGGCUGAGCCCAGGAACACUGGCUAAUAGAUAUCCUGCCCACCAAACUCCAUCACAGAGUCCGUUUCCCAAGAACCCAACCUGCAAUGGCCAUGUCUGCGUGAACACAGUCACCUGUGUGCUUGGAAGCCAGCCAUGUGUUCCACUGGGAGUGCAUCCCUUUUGACUGCAGCAGAAAUCACUGGAGACACCUGGAGGGGGAUUCAGAGACUGGUACAUUUUGGGGAGCUCCUAAGACCACUGAGACUCUUCAGAUGCCACCAAGGUUCCUUGGCCUGGACCCAAGUGUUUCUCUGGAGUCAGGUGAGCCCAGGUGAACUGUGCCAAGAACAUCCACUCUGUGCUGUUUUGUUCUCAUAACCUGAGCUAUUGUAAACUGUAAAGCUAUACCAAGUACGACACAGCUGAGACUAGGUAAACUGGGUAGCUCUGAUACAGAUGGAAACUUGAUCAUUAAAACAU